GACGAACCGUGCAAACGUUGUUCGGAAUUACUGGGCGUAAAGGGCGCGUAGGCGCCUUCUAAGUCGAACGUGAAAUCCCCGGGCUCAACCCGGGAACUGCGUCCGAUACUGGAAGGCUUGAAUCCGGGAGAGGGAUGCGGAAUUCCAGGUGUAGCGGUGAAAUGCGUAGAUAUCUGGAGGAACACCGGUGGCGAAGGCGGCAUCCUGGACCGGCAUUGACGCGUGAGGC
rnacentral:rRNA from 1 species